GGUUGAAAGCUCCGGCGGUGAAGGAUGAGCCCGCGGCCUAUCAGCUUGUUGGUGAGGUAGUGGCUCACCAAGGCGACGACGGGUAGCCGGCCUGAGAGGGCGACCGGCCACACUGGGACUGAGACACGGCCCAGACUCCUACGGGAGGCAGCAGUGGGGAAUAUUGCACAAUGGGCGAAAGCCUGAUGCAGCGACGCCGCGUGAGGGAUGACGGCCUUCGGGUUGUAAACCUCUUUCAGCAGGGAAGAAGCGAAAGUGACGGUACCUGCAGAAGAAGCGCCGGCUAACUACGUGCCAGCAGCCGCGGUAAUACGUAGGGCGCAAGCGUUGUCCGGAAUUAUUGGGCGUAAAGAGCUCGUAGGCGGUCUGUCGCGUCGGAUGUGAAAGCCCGGGGCUUAACCCCGGGUCUGCAUACGAUACGGGCAGACUAGAGUGUGGUAGGGGAGAUCGGAAUUCCUGGUGUAGCGGUGAAAUGCGCAGAUAUCAGGAGGAACACCGGUGGCGAAGGCGGAUCUCUGGGCCAUUACUGACGCUGAGGAGCGAAAGCGUGGGGAGCGAACAGGAUUAGAUACCCUGGUAGUCCACGCCGUAAACGG
rnacentral:rRNA from 1 species